AGCGAACGCUGGCGGCAGGCUUAACACAUGCAAGUCGAGCGGGCAUCUUCGGAUGUCAGCGGCAGACGGGUGAGUAACACGUGGGAACGUACCCUUCGGUUCGGAACAACUCUGGGAAACUGGAGCUAAUACCGGAUACGCCCUUAUGGGGAAAGGUUUACUGCCGAAGGAUCGGCCCGCGUCUGAUUAGCUAGUUGGUGGGGUAACGGCCUACCAAGGCGACGAUCAGUAGCUGGUCUGAGAGGAUGAUCAGCCACACUGGGACUGAGACACGGCCCAGACUCCUACGGGAGGCAGCAGUGGGGAAUAUUGGACAAUGGGCGCAAGCCUGAUCCAGCCAUGCCGCGUGAGUGAUGGAGGCCUUAGGGUUGUAAAGCUCUUUUGUCCGGGACGAUAAUGACGGUACCGGAAGAAUAAGCCCCGGCUAACUUCGUG
rnacentral:rRNA from 1 species